ACAUGGCUAUCAACCAAUCACAGUGUGCGUACUAUUUAAUUUAUUUNAUAAUUCUAUAUAUUCCAUUUCAGUCGCAAGUAAAACGAAAGUAAAACUACUUGAAUCAAAUUGGCGACCCUCUUCUUUCCGCUCUUCGUCAGUUUAUAUUAAGGACAGAUGGCAAAGAAAGGCUUAGACUGGAAAGGUCAAAUACAAUACCUCGAUUGGGACGAUGAUAAUAUUAGGCUGAGCCAAUGCAAACUCCGGGAUCGGGAAUGGCAACCAAAGCUGAAGCAUCAGUAUAUUGUUCUGGAAACAAAGAACUGGAGAGAACUGGUGGUGGGCGAUCGAAAAAGACGGAGAGGGAAUCGUACUUCAAAGAAGUAAAAGAUUAGAAGACGUUGAAGGGCACAGAACUGAUGGUACACCCAGACCCGAACCAUUAAUGCAAAUGCAUUUUCAUGACGUUCGAGAAAAGGACUUAACGAUGACAAGAAUACUGGACUACGUUGCUUUUACAAAAUUACAUCUCCCCUAUCACUUUUUAUUUGCAAACUGCAAACGUUUUGCUGCGGAGCUUUAUAAUGCGAUAAUUAAGUAUUAGGACUUCUCCCAUGCAGUACCAUACUCUUAUGAAACGCAACGGAACUGUAAGGUCAUAUUCAAGUAAAGUCGCUAGAGGUUAAUUGUGAGUUUGCUGAAGAUGUAUACACCUAUUUCAAAAGACGUUGUCGGUUGGAUAUCUGAAAUCAGAAAUCUGAGACCGACUGGAAAUGUGGGGGACUGAGUGUUUUCUCGUUCAAAAUUCAAUAUACAUUUACCCAGAUCGUUUGCCAGCACAGGUCAUCGCUCAAAGUUAGUAUAUCAAGAUAUUAACUUUUUGCGAACUACUAAUUAAAACCACAAACAAUUUACAGCUUACAACCCACAAUUCCUUUCGGUCUCAGAUUUCAGAUUUCCGACCGACAACGUUUUUUGAAAUAGGCGUAUAUCCUAAUCGCUAUUUUAGUAUAUUAGAAAUUGUUGUAUUGUUCCUUAAACCAUUGUAACGAACCAUNAUUUCUUAAUACUCUUAAAAUACGUUAAUAUUAAUAUUUAUCUAAAAUAUUUAAUAUUAACUUUUAAUCAAUUAGUAGUAGGUUUAGUUUAGUCACGUUAACGUUAACGUUUGUAUUUGAUUACAAACAUUUUAGAAUCACUCCACCCUAAGGGUACUCUUGUAUCCUGCUGCAUCGAAAACAUUUAGAUUUUCCUUCUUAUGUUGUUUAGCGGGUAAUUUAGGGAUAAUAACACUAUAUUUAAUAUUCUUGUUCUAUCAUAUUGUAGACCCCUGGCAUGCAGACUACCUGUAUGAGUCCAGUCAUAUAGCCUGGUCAAGCUAAGCGAGUACUGCUCAGUGUACACCUGAUUCUAAUUGUAGUUUUAUCUUCUCUUCGUGACAUUCGAUGGCGAGUGUUCUCGAAGGGGGGAAUAAUAUGUAGAAGGGAAAAAUAUAAUCAAGGGAAAAUGUUAGGGAAAAACAUCCUAGAAAUAGAAAAUUAUCUGCUAAACCUUCUGUAAAUAAGGAAUGUAAGGAAAUCUCUUUAUUUUAAUGACAUGUCAAUAGACAACUUGUCAUUGACCAAUGGCGAGUCAUUCACAAUAACUUGUUCAUUAACUCCAGGGUCAAGGAUGUUUGUUCAUUGACAUGGCCUUACACUUCUAAUUGGGAAGUACGUUUUGUAGUAAACAACAGCUGCAAAUCUACUGUACGUUUCCAGUGAAAAUGGGUUUUGAUCAUGUACAACUUUGUACAUGCGUACUGGAAAAGAGCAGGGUUGUUUACUGUACAAACAACUACUUCCUAAGCCUUUUUCUGUUCACUUUUUCAGAAUGAUCUUUCUUAUAACUUUAGGAUAUCUUUAGUGCAAUCUGCUCUGUACUAGUUAAGUUAGCGAACGCCACCGACAGAUUUUCAGGGUCAGCUCUUAGAACUGAGUGCUCGUACUUUUUCCUAAAGUCAACACCUGUCUCAAGCUCUUACGUCAUACUUGACCUAACUGGUGUAAUCUAGUUUGACCUAGUAUAACCGGUUGUGAGGUAUUGCGUAAGCUUAGUCCUUAAAUACGAGCUUACUCAGAGUUCAGUUCAGUGAGAGUGAGUGAGAGCUGAUAGCACAGUGCACAACGAAGUAGCAGCUAGUCAAGAGCCAUAACCAGAGUUCAGAUGAGAUCAUUGUAAAGUACUACAAGCAACAGAAAAUAAACCAGAAGGAAGCAACUGAA
rnacentral:misc_RNA from 1 species